rnacentral:misc_RNA from 1 species
GAUGAAGAACGUAGCGAAAUGCGAUAAGUAGUGUGAAUUGCAGAAUCCAGUGAAUCAUCGAAUCUUUGAACGCACAUUGCGCCUCCUGGCAUUCCGGGAGGCAUGCCUGUUCGAGCGUCAUCAAACCCCAUCGUGCAAAUGAAUUAUUUUUUUUGCGCGGAAGUGACGAUUGAGCGAGAAUAACAAAUCCUCUCGCACCUCGUCGAAAUGAUUGCGGGCGGAAUUUGGGAUCGGGUUCCUCGGCGUAGUGUAUCAAUGCAUAUUUAUGCAACUUGCCGCGGAGUUGAGCCUGACCCACGCGUUCUCGCCGUACAAACACCUCAUUACUUUACAAGUUUUUGACCUCGGAUCAGGUAGGGAUACCCGCUGAACUUAAGCAUAUCAAUAAGCGGAGGA